rnacentral:rRNA from 1 species
CCUACGGGGAGCAGCAGUGGGGAAUAUUGCACAAUGGGGGAAACCCUGAUGCAGCAACGCCGCGUGAGUGAAGAAGUAAUUCGUUAUGUAAAGCUCUAUCAGCAGGGAAGAAACUGACGGUACCUGAGUAAGAAGCCCCGGCUAACUACGUGCCAGCAGCCGCGGUAAUACGUAGGGGGCAAGCGUUAUCCGGAUUUACUGGGUGUAAAGGGAGCGUAGACGGCAGUGCAAGUCUGGCGUGAAAGGCGGGGGCUCAACCCCCGGACUGCUCUGGAAACUGUACGGCUUGAGUGCAGGAGAGGUAAGUGGAAUGCCUAGUGUAGCGGGGAAAUGCGGAGAUAUUAGGAGGAACACCAGUGGCGAAGGCGGCUUACUGGACUGUAACUGACGUUGAGGCUCGAAAGCGUGGGGAGCAAACAGGAUUAGAUACCCCAGUAGUC